CCCUGUCGGAUUUUACCUCCCCCCGGGGGAGCUCAGCCCUGGAUCCCGGCGGGCGGCGGAGCCUCUCUGGAGCCCGGACGGGACAGCCCACCAGGGUCUGCUUCUGUGAGGGGCCGAGGCGUCAUUCCGCGAAGGCUCUUCAUUCGAUGGACAAAAACCACAAGAUUAUCUAAAUAGAUGCAGAAAAGGCCUUCGAUAAAAAUCCUCAUUCCUUCAUGUUAAAAACUCUCAAUAAACUAGGUAUUGAUGGAACAUACCUCAAAAUAAUUAGAGCCAUUUAUGACAAACUCACAGCCAGUGUCCUCACUGAAUGGGCAAAAGCUGAAAGCAUUCUCCUUGAAAACCAGCACAGGACAAGUUUGCCCUCUCUCCCAACCCCUAUUCAAUAUAGUAUUGGAAGUUAUGGCCAUGGCAAUUGGGCAAGAGAAAAAAAUGAAGAGUAUUUAAAUGGGAAAAGAGGAAGUCAAACUAUCUUUUUUUGCAGAUGACAUAAUCCUAUAUCUAGAAAACCCAUUAUCUCAACCCAAAAGCUUCUUAAACUUCAGCAAAGUCUCAGGAUAAAAAAUCAAAGUGCAAAAAUUGCUAUACACUAAUAAUAGGCAAGCCAAGAGCCAAAUCAUGAAUGAACUUUGAUUCACAAUUGCCACAAAAAGAAUAAAAUACCUAGGAAUACAGCUAACAAGGGAA
rnacentral:antisense_RNA from 1 species